UGAGCAAUCUGCCCUUCUCAUCGGAAUAAGCGUUGGAAACGACGUCUAAUGCCGAAUACGACCUCCUUUCGCAUGAUCGGAGGUGGAAAGCUCCGGCGGAGAAGGAUGAGCUCGCGGCCUAUCAGCUAGUUGGUGUGGGUAAUGGCCCACCAAGGCGACGACGGGUAGCCGGCCUGAGAGGGUGACCGGCCACACUGGGACUGAGACACGGCCCAGACCUCCUACGGGAGGNAGCG
rnacentral:rRNA from 1 species